rnacentral:rRNA from 1 species
ACGCUCGACACUACUGAGGCAGCAGUGGGGAAUAUUGCACAAUGGGGGAAACCCUGAUGCAGCGACGCCGCGUGAGCGAAGAAGUAUUUCGGUAUGUAAAGCUCUAUCAGCAGGGAAGAAACUGACGGUACCUGACUAAGAAGCACCGGCUAAAUACGUGUCAGCAGCCGCGGUAAUCUGAGGCGGGCGUGGCAAGGC